rnacentral:rRNA from 1 species
UAGGGAAUCUUCGGCAAUGGGGGCAACCCUGACCGAGCAACGCCGCGUGAGUGAAGAAGGUUUUCGGAUCGUAAAGCUCUGUUGUAAGAGAAGAACGUGUGUGAGAGUGGAAAGUUCACACAGUGACGGUAACUUACCAGAAAGGGACGGCUAACUACGUGCCAGCAGCCGCGGUAAUACGUAGGUCCCGAGCGUUGUCCGGAUUUAUUGGGCGUAAAGCGAGCGCAGGCGGUUUAAUAAGUCUGAAGUUAAAGGCAGUGGCUUAACCAUUGUUCGCUUUGGAAACUGUUAAACUUGAGUGCAGAAGGGGAGAGUGGAAUUACAUGUGUAGCGGUGAAAUGCGUAGAUAUAUGGAGGAACACCGGUGGCGAAAGCGGCUCUCUGGUCUGUAACUGACGCUGAGGCUCGAAAGCGUGGGGAGCAAACAGG